rnacentral:rRNA from 1 species
UACAGAGGGUGCAAGCGUUAAUCGGAAUCACUGGGCUUAAAGCGUUCGUAGGCGGCUCUGUAGGCGCGUUGUGAAAGCCCUCGGCUCAACCGGGGAACUGCUUCGCGAACCACAGAUCUUGAGUCAAGUAGGGGCGAUCGGAACGAUAGGUGGAGCGGUGAAAUGCGUAGAUAUCUAGCGGAACGCCGAAGGUGAAGACAGGUCGCUGGGCUUGUACUGACGCUGAGGAACGAAAGCGUGGGGAGCAAACGGG